rnacentral:lncRNA from 1 species
GUGGUAUCAUAAAUGGUUUCCAUGGAAACAAAAGGUUAGGAUAGAACAGUGCCAAUGUGCAUGUAAACUUCAGAAUUAAACAAGGGCUGUUGUUUUUGCCUGUCAUGGAGUUCCGUUCAUUCUGAACAUGUCACCGGGGACUUUGGAAUGUGUAUCCAUAACUCCCUGAUUUUCAACCACAUUCCAGCCUGCCUGACUCAUGAAGCGUGGAGCGACCCAGGAACAUCCCAGCUCCUCAUGUCCCACAUUCUUCAGGCUUUCUCUUAGUUUUGGCAUGUGCAUGUAAAUGUCAACAGUGCCCAGAUCAGCGCCUGAUAUAUACUUGGCACACAAUAACCACUCUUGAAAUUCAUGAAGGAAUCUGGACAUUUAGGGGGUUCACAGAAUCCGCCGCUUUUAGGGAAGAUUCUCUGCCUGAUGUGUGAGCGCUCUAACCUCUUCAUCUGUGUUCAGUCCCCUUGCAAUGCUUCUCUAAGAUCAAUAAAGGCAAAAACCAGGAGAUCCCAUAAAUCCCGCUGAGCCUGUCAUAGCUAUCAAAUUAUACCCAGAUAAAGCUUCUGGUGGCUAAUGACAUGGCCAUCACCCAGCGUGGACGUGGGCAGGAGGGGCUCUCCGGGAGCAUCUGGUCUGCUGUGGAGACACUUGUCAUCUGGAGGCUCUGUGGCUCUAAUGGAGGGUGAUGCUUUGAACGCGACUAUCUCCCCCAUAAAAAAAUAAAUAAAUAAUAAGUAUAAUUUAAAAAUAAACAAAGAUCUGGAUUUGCAGGCUACUUACUGUCGCAGGACCAAGAUU